UGAAGUUGGGGAUAUUGUUGUUGGUUCUGUGCUUGCACCAGGUUCUCAGAGAGCUAGUGAAUGUAGAAUGGCUGCUUUCUAUGCCGGCUUCCCUGAAACUGUGCCUGUUAGAACUGUAAAUAGGCAGUGUUCGUCGGGGCUGCAGGCCGUUGCUGAUGUUGCUGCAGCUAUAAGAGCAGGGUUUUAUGAUAUUGGAAUUGGAGCUGGGUUGGAAUCGAUGACUGUUAAUCCAAUGUCUUGGGAAGGAUCUGUCAACCCAAGAGUGAAGUCAUUCCAAAAUGCUCAGAACUGCCUUCUUCCAAUGGGAGUAACCUCGGAAAAUGUUGCCCAGCGUUUCGGGGUGUCAAGGGAGAAGCAAGAUCAGGCUGCUAUUGAGUCUCACAGGAAGGCUGCAGCUGCCACCGCUAGUGGCAAAUUUAAGGAUGAGAUUAUCCCUGUUUCUACCAAGAUUGUUGACCCGAAAACUGGUCAAGAGAAACCUGUUACAAUCUCGGUUGAUGAUGGGAUUCGUCCUAACACAACUCAAGCAGAUUUGGGGAAGUUGAAGCCUGUGUUUAAGAAAG
rnacentral:misc_RNA from 1 species